GACGAACGCUGGCGGCGUGCCUAAUACAUGCAAGUAGAACGCUGAAGGAGGAGCUUGCUCUUCUGGAUGAGUUGCGAACGGGUGAGUAACGCGUAGGUAACCUGCCUGGUAGCGGGGGAUAACUAUUGGAAACGAUAGCUAAUACCGCAUAAGAGUAGAUGUUGCAUGACAUUUGCUUAAAAGGUGCAAUUGCAUCACUACCAGAUGGACCUGCGUUGUAUUAGCUAGUUGGUGGGGUAACGGCUCACCAAGGCGACGAUACAUAGCCGACCUGAGAGGGUGAUCGGCCACACUGGGACUGAGACACGGCCCAGACUCCUACGGGAGGCAGCAGUAGGGAAUCUUCGGCAAUGGACGGAAGUCUGACCGAGCAACGCCGCGUGAGUGAAGAAGGUUUUCGGGUCGUAAAGCUCUGUUGUAAGAGAAGAACGAGUGUGAGAGUGGAAAGUUCACACUGUGACGGUAUCUUACCAGAAAGGGACGGCUAACUACGUG
rnacentral:rRNA from 1 species